rnacentral:rRNA from 1 species
UACGUAGGGGGCGAGCGUUGUCCGAAGUACUGGGCGUAAAGCGCGCGUAGGCGGGUUGGCAAGUCUGCUGUGAAAGCCCGGGGCUUAACUCCGGAGGGUCGGUGGAUACUGCCAGUCUUGAGGGUGCUAGGGAGAGAUGGAAUUACCGGUGUAGCGGUGAAAUGCGUAGAUAUCGGUAGGAACACCAGUGGCGAAGGCGGUCUCUUGGGGCAUUCUUGACGCUGAGGCGCGAAAGCUGGGGGAGCGAACGGG